UACGUAGGCAGCGAGCGUUGUUCGGAGUUACUGGGCGUAAAGGGUGCGUAGGCGGUUGUUUAAGUUUGGUGUGAAAUCUCCCGGCUCAACUGGGAGGGUGCGCCGAAUACUGAAUGACUAGAGUGCGGGAGAGGAUAGUGGAAUUCCUGGUGUAGCGGUGAAGUGCGUAGAUAUCAGGAGGAACACCGAUGGCGAAGGCAGGUCUCUGGGCUGACACUGACGCUCAUGCACGAAAGCGUGGGGAGCAAACAGG
rnacentral:rRNA from 1 species